rnacentral:rRNA from 1 species
ACAGCAGUCGCCGCGGGAAAACGUAGGGUGCGAGCGUUAAUCGGAAUUACUGGGCGUAAAGCGUGCGUAGGCGGUUUGUUAAUUCUGUUGUGAAAUCCCCGGGCUCAACCUGGGAGUGGCAAUGGAUACUGGCAAGCUAGAGUGUGUCAGAGGAUGGUAGAAUUCCCGGUGUAGCGGUGAAAUGCGUAGAGAUCGGGAGGAACAUCAGUGGCGAAGGCGGCCAUCUGGGACAAUACUGACGCUGAGGCACGAAAGCGUGGGGAGCAAACAGGAUUAGAUACCCCGGUAGUCCCUGUCUCUUAUAC